rnacentral:lncRNA from 10 species
GCCAGAAACAGCAACCCUUCUGGGUCCCCUUCCACCACGCAGAAGCUUUACUUUCGCUUUCACUUUACUUUUGCUUUCACUUUAACAAAUCUUGCAGCCGCACACUCUUUGGGUCCGCCCGUUUCUCUAAUCAAGUUGUAACACUCGCUGCUGUGGUCCACAGCUUCAUUCCUUGAAGCCCGUGAGACACGAACGCUUCCAUUGAGAAAAACCUUCCAUCAGAAGAAGACUUCUCGUCUCAGUGGGACUGCUGAGUUGAAUGAGACGAGGUUUCACCAUGUUACCCAAGCUGAUCUCGAACUCCUGGGUUCAUGCGAUCCACCUGACUCAGCCUCACAAAGUGGUAGGACUACAGAAAAUGAACAGGACUAUUCUUCCUCAAACAAAGAGAUCGUGUGAUGAAGACUCACCAGAGCUGUUCUCUAUAAGCUUGAAGAGCAAUGGUAUCAGGUGGAAAGAACUUAGAGGCCGAGGAUAUCCAGGAUGCACAUGUUGCCAGCAGCUACUAUCAAAGUUUAAGUGAAUUGCCUUUUCAUUUAUUAUCUUGUUUCUCAAGUGGGAUAUAAGUGUCAUGGGGAGGAUCUGAAAAUGGACUCCAUAGAAAGAGACUCUGAGAUGAAAGACACAAAACUGAGAACAUGCUUGAUGAAGAAACACUUGAUGAAGUCUUUCAAAAGUCAGGAACAAGAAAUAGACACAAUGAACACUAGUAACAAACAUCAGACAGCAGGUGCUUUUUUUUCUGAAGCUUUGGUAGUGUAACUGUAAGAGUCCUGGAAUUGGAAAAGCAAAUCCAGAAGUUGAGUUCCAUGACUUUUUUGCUGUUUGCCUUUGGACUUGCAUCAUUUAUAUUUUUAAUUCAUCGAGGAUGAGAAAAUUGAUUAACACAAAAUCUUUUCAUGUCUUUUCUGAUGAGAGACUAGCUGAAUCCAAGAAGAGAAGCCCUUGAAGAGUGUAUUCUAUUCUAGACAAGCAUUCACACAUUGGCUUCUUUGGUGCCAGAUUAAAGAAUGAAGAAAGGAUCAAAUUGAGACAUCCAGGGGGGAAGAGUUCCCUGGCAAAACUCCAAUCUGCCUGAGCACUGAGGUGGAGCCACAGAAGUCCGGGUCAUUUGCACCUGGGAGGAGCCUGGCCCCUCCUCUUCCUGUGUGGAAUCUGGGAUUUAAUCUGUGAGGAGGGAAGGCCAAGGGCAGGAAGCACAGGCUCUCACUUCACUAAGAGUCUCUGUUUCCCCUUUUUUUCCUUUAUGCCUAAUUAAUAAAUCCCAUUUUUCUCACUCUUCAAAUAGUCUUCAAGCCUAAAUUUUCAUGACCAUGGAACAAGGACCCCAUCUUUAGCUGAACUAAGGAAAAGUCCUGCAACAAAAUUCUUUGCUAAAAAUACAUGAGGUUGCCUUUUCCUUCUUAAUCUUAAAAGAAAUAUAUUUCAAUGGUUAACGUUUUAGUAAUUCAAAAAUUAUCAAGCAUUUGUUCACAACCAUAAGAUGUGCAUUGUUUUAUAUUCCUACUUAAUAAUAGACUAUAAUUGUCUAAUUAGACUGCCGAUGUUGAUCUUUGUGGCUCAUUGCAUUGAUUAUAAGCAGUGUUUUGGGUUUGUGUGUGUGUGUCAAAUUUAGGGUUUUUUUGGUAUGGCUGCUGGUUGGUGUAGCCUGUAUCCAGUAUCCUGUAUUAAUUCUAAUAUUUGCAUUUUGAACAUAUUUACAAGUUGCUAAAAUAGCAAAGCUUCGAGAUGAGCCUGGCUGAUAUGGCAAAACCCCGUCUCUACUAAAAAUACAAAAAUUAGCCUGGUGUGGUGGUGCAUGCCUGUAAUCCCAGCUACUUGGAAGUCUGAGGCAGGAGAAUCUCUUGAACCCAGAAGGUGGAGGUUGCAGUGGGCCAAGAUCGCACCACUGCACUCCAGCCUCGGUGAUAGAGCGAGACUACGUCUCAAAAAUAAAAUAAAAUAAAAUAAAAUAAAAAUAGCAAAGCUAUGUAUGGUUUCUCUGAGUUUUGUAAUUUAUCAUUGUUAACUGCAGAAAUUUAUUAUAUGAGACAUAUUAUAUGAGACAUAUAAGUGAAUUUGGAUUGGGUUUAAUUUUAUAUUUUUGAAUAUAGUUCUUCAAGAUAAAUUUUAUCUUAGACCUCAAGAAAUAAAAAUAAAAUAAAUUAGAUAUACAAACGA